rnacentral:rRNA from 1 species
UACAGAGGGGGCGAGCGUUGUUCGGAAUUACUGGGCGUAAAGGGCGCGUAGGCGGCCCGCUAAGUCGAACGUGAAAUCCCCAGGCUCAACCUGGGAACUGCGUCCGAUACUGGCAGGCUUGAAUCCGGGAGAGGGAUGUGGAAUUCCAGGUGUAGCGGUGAAAUGCGUAGAGAUCCGGAGGAACACCAGAGGCGAAGGCGGCAACCUGGCACGUUACUGACGCUCAUACACGACAGCAUGGGGAGCGAACGGG